rnacentral:sRNA from 1 species
AUUCCUGCAGUUCAAGAAGAAUGAAAGACAAACUCAGUGCAGAGCAUUCCAGUUUCUGGAUCACCACCAUGUUUCUCUUAAGAACAAAUAACAAUCCAGGGUUCUAGAGUUGGAGUGAAUGGUUGCAUGCUAGCUCUGGACAUCAAAGGGUUCUCAUAGGACUUUUCUCUCUACCACUAUGUCUUGUUGCUGCUGCCCACAGCUCACACCUAACAUCCUUCCAUCUAGAAACCCCAGACCCAACAUGUGUGAAAGCCUGUCUUUCAGUGGACAACCUCUGAUUAUCCUAGUAAGGUAAACACGUGGUCAAUUUAAGGAAUUCUUCUUGGAAAGAAAUGACAAGCCCAUUUUCAGUAACCACCUCUAACUUAUCUAAUAACUACUGCGUGUAAGAAGUUGCUUUUGUCUAACUUUACUCUUUCAUGCUGCAAAGGGGCUUCAAUGUCUUGGUUGAUCUUAAGUACUAGUGAAGACUGCUGUUCUUUACAUUUUUCUUGCAUCAAGAAUUCUAAGGAGCCAUCGUUAUUACCUCCUUUGAACCCUACACUUCAACUCAGUGUGUGAAGAGUUGGGCGUCCCAGAAGACAAUGGGGGAAGUGACUCAGAUUUUAGUAAAACACUAGCUAUGAGAGCUAUUCCAUCUCUACCCUAAUUUCUCGGAAGAAUGUUGCUGGAGUGAUGUCUGGAGAGAAGGAACAGCUCUUCGGUCGAUCCAGAAUGAAACCCAUGAAAGCAUUACCAUCAACAUGGCUGGGAAAUAGGUCUGCAGUACAAAGAAGAAAAUGUGCCUCCGUAGCACAAAGUUGAUGAAAAGCCUGUAGUACCACCCUAGGUGAAAAACAAGCAAACAAACAAACUGGUUACCAUUAAACAGGCUUAGUCACACAACCUACUCUUCAGACAGGAAGCUCUCAGGGCUCGUAGACUGUGAUGGACCACCUCUGCUUACUCAGCACCAGCUUGUUCUCACCUGGCCUAACUCCAGCCUGCUUAAUCAUUCACCUGAAAACUUGCUGACCUUCUAGAGCCCGGCUGGGGAGUGAAUGGCAACUGCAUCGAAUGCAUGUAAUUUUGCACACUUAAAUUGUUUGGAGUAUUUCCGUAAGGACAGUGCUAAUUGAUGACUGUGUAUCAUAGUGAAUAGUCUUUAUCAAAUGAUAUGCUGAAGAACAUUUGACUGUAAGAAAAGGUUUGGAGUAGAUCACCGGACCUUUGCUUGGGAUCUGGAAUAAGAUAAGAAUUCAAAGAGAAGAAGGGGCGUCUUUAACAUGUUUUCAUUACUUUUGAAGUUUCAGAUAUUAUGAUAAAUCUGCAAAGAGGUAAUUAAAUGGUGAUAUUUCUUUGCAUGCUGUUGGACUCAUAUAAGCUUAUGUUGGUGAUAUUAUGUAAUCUGAUGAAAAAUACCACCGUUGUCAUAUCUAUAGCAAACUGAACAGAUUUCUUGUUUUCACAUUUACUAUAUCAAAGCUUUCAAAAGUGGAAGAUUUAUGUGCUCUUAAGAGAAACCAGAGUAUAUAAAGAAGUUAAGUUCAAAUUUUCAAACCAUCUUUAGGACAUUGUAGAGUGUUAUUCAUCAUGACUCCUAGGCUACAUUGAAUACUUAUGUUUUCAUUAUUCAAUCAUACUUAUUAUUUCAUUUUGGUUUCUGUGUGUAGAUGUUUUGACUGUAUGUAUGUAUGUAUGUAUGUAUGUAUGUAUGUGCAUAACUGUUGUCUGUGGAGACCAGAAAAGGGUUCUCAAUCUCCAGAACUAGAGCUAUAGAUGGUUGGGAGCUAUUAUGUGGGGGAUGGGAAUUUAACCUGGGUCUUGUGAAAGAACAGCCUGUGAUCUUAACUGUCGGUUCAUCUCUCCAGCCCCUCACUCAUACUUUUAAAUGCAUAGCAAUAACCAUGUAUCAAUUUUAGAAUUUACUGAAAUAAGGUAAUGAAUAAACAUUAGAAUAUGCUUUAUGAAUGGUGUAGAGUUUAACUUGUAUGUGUCAAAAACAAUUUUGAAAUGAUUCAAAACCUAGAGACUAUAGUAGAUCAAAUUAUAAAGCCGAAUCGCAGGUCAUAUAAAGCUAGAGAACUCUUCUAUUUUUAGUAGUAAUUUCUUAGAAGAUGCAGAUGCUAAACUUGUUGGGAGGGACAGAUAAAUUGUUUGAACACUGAGUACUAGGACAACUACAUUGAACUGAGAGACUCUCCAUCUAGCCUCUGAUUCUCAGUUAAUUGCUCAUUAUAUUUCUUAUCUUAUCAGACUCCAAGAUUCUCACUGUUUGCUGACACAGAUUCUUUGAAACAUAUAUACCUGAAGAUUACAAAUUUCAUUAGCGGUGGAUAUAAAUGAAACAUCCUGCAUAAUAUUCUAAAGUUAAAAGUACACAUUGCCCUUGGUGUUAGUAAAAAGCUUGCAAUGUGUCAAUGUUUUGUUUAGACACUCACUUUACUGUGUGUGCGAUCGAAAGUUGUGAUCAUGGCUGAAGCAUGGAAUAAUAUACCAACCUCUACUGCUUCGCAUAAUUGUUGGAAGGUUAAAAUAAAAUCACAAUUAUAAAUGUCAUUCUUAAAGAGAGAUAAAAUUACAGUAUAGUUGUUUCAACAAUUUAUAAAGGGACUGGUCCCAGGAACCCUUGGACAUUGCUCAUAUAAGAUAGCUUAUUAUUAUUUGCAUAUGAUCUAUUUAUAUUUAUCCAUAUAUUUUAAAUAAUCUCACUUAUUUUAUAGUGCCUAAUGCAAUGUAAGUGCCAUGCAAAUAGCUGUUAUGAUGAUUAGGAACUUAUGACAAUACAUAGUUAGGUUCACGCUAGCACAAAUGUAUUUACAAAUUUCAACUCAAAAUUGGAUGAUUCCAUGUACGGGAGAGCAGUGGAUAUAGAUGGUUGAUUGUUUGCAGUUUUCUGUUUACUAUUUGAGUUCUUGAGAUACAUUUAGGCAUUGAUUCUUUCAUAAAAUGAUCAUCAUUACUAUUAUCAUUUUUCAAUGCUAGAGAUUAAACCCAGAGCAUCAGAAAAUACUAGGCAAGUACAUUACUAAGCAACACUUCUCCCCUCUUAACAUUUUUCUGGAGAGGUAUUAUGUGGGGUUUUAUUGGUGGGGUUAGUACAAGGAAUUAACUGGGAAGGAAGAACACUGCUCUUACCCUGUGGAUCAGGAGGGGAAGACGAAGAUGGUACUCUGGGUAGACUAGGCCAGAAGGACUCCUUUACUCAUUACAACAGGCCAUUCUACCUUGUAAGAUGGUCAAAUCAUUACUGCAGCCAGUCUAAUAAAGUGUCGGACUUCAUUUCUAAUCCUAAAAUAUGGAGAGUUCCCAGGCCCCAUUUCUAUGUCCCUCUGCCUCAUAAAUAACAAACUAAAAAAAAAAAAACAAAAAAACUAACUAUAAUAAUAGUAAUAGUGAUAAUAAUCUAUGCAAACAAUCACAAGAUAUCUUUUGGCAUCCCAGGAAAUCUUUAACCAUUGUCUCCUCCACCAAAGGAAGCAUCGUUUGCUUUCCUCUACCCCCAAACCACCAUAAAAUUCCGAACCAGGUGCUCCUUUCUGUGUUCUCAGCUCCUUGCAGACCUGCUUGGCAGGCUGGAUUGCUCUUUCUAGGAGGCCCACAAAGUGAACCAUAAACCCGUCAUACCUUUAUGUGGUGGCAUCACCAUUCUUUUGCAAUGUGAAUUAAAUUUUUGGCGGGGCGGGGGGUGUCAGGAGGUGUCUCCCAUUGCCUCCAUCAGUAGAAAGAAGCAGAACUAAAGACUGUGAGAAAGGGGCUGGCAGUAAUUGGGAUGCCAUCCCAAGAUGACAUCACAAGCUUCCCGUGUACUUAUAAAUUGUCACAUAUGAUUGUGCUCUGAUGUUAAGGACUUGGAUUGUAUUAAAAGCAUCACAGGGAAGAUGCAGAUGAAAAUGAUGGCGAUGUAUUUCCUAACUAAUAUUGUUUAAGCACUUCCCACAUGGCAGACACUAUUUCAGUCAUUCAAAUGUACUAACUCAUUUGCAGAAUUGCAUGAGGCAAAGACUGUUGUGACACCCUCUGGAAGGUGGGGAAAAUGAAUUAAGCAACUCUUCCAAGGCUGUGCUGGUGGUAAGCCAUAGACUAGAGUUUGAACUCAGGCAGAUGCCUCUGUACGUUAGCUUUGAUAACAAAUAAUUCCCUGAUAUAUUUUUGCAGUGAUAGAAGUCUUUCCUAUGUGAACCCACAAUAUGCAAAAAUUUAGAGGAACAAUGAGGUGGAUGAAGGGCAGAAAAACCCUCUCCUACUUGUUGAUGCUACUGGGUGGCCAAGGGCUUGUGUAGAGGCAAUGGUAAAAGUGAAAGAAUCAUAAGUAAAAAGCAGUACUCCACUAUAGAUGGAAAAUAAGUUUCUGUACCUCCAAUCUCACAGCUCUUACAAUGAGAGCCAUAUGCAUGGUUUUAUCUCUCUGUCUGCCUGCCUAUCUAUCUAUCUAUCUAUCUAUCUAUCUAUCUAUCUAUAAUCAAUUUAUCUAUCUUGUAUACAAAUUUGAGGCUGGUGGUUACAGUUGGUAGUUAUGAUAGGAAUAAAGAUAUUUAUAAUCGUUUUUGACAAAGCUAAUAUUUUUUAAACAGAAGGACACCACAUUAAAAAUUUAUGGAUAAUGUGAGGCAGACCUGUUAUCUACUCACGAACUGAAAUCAGUCUCUAAAGUCAUCUUUCUGAAACUUAGGAACUUUUUAAAUCUGGAUAUAACAAUUAAUUUGAUAUAUGAACACAGCUUUCAGAAUGCCUUGAUCUUGUACAUUUCUAAUAUUAGAACACAUUUUAUUCCUUCUAAUUAAAAGGGUGCAUUUUAAAAAAAUUAGAAUUACAAUGUGUUGAAAUAAAAUUGAAACUCUCCCCAAUCUCUAGCUACUUCUUAAAAGUUUAGAAUGCACAGGUACAUAUAAACAUGGCUAUAUAUGUAUAAAUAAUUUCUCCAAUAACAAAUAUGAGUUUUUGUUAAAGAGUCUUCUAUUAGUUUCCCUUUUAAUUAAAAGAAACUUUGCAUCAUGCUGUAUAAGGCUAUACAUUUGAAGCCAUUCUAUCUUGUCUAUUUUUCAUAGGAGUUAAUGUUCUACUACUUCUUAAAAGUAUAAACAUACUGGAAUGUUCAGGCUUCUUAUUUCAUUUAAAAUACAUAAAAGCAUCUUUGUGAACAGAUUUUCAGUGAUGUUUUGUCUGAUUUUUGACAGGCUCUACAACGUGAAGAGAAGAGGAUAAAAAUUACCUAGUGUUGAUCCUGCCUGGGUGACAAGCACAGAGCUGAGUGUGAUAACAUGGUCCAAGGAGUCCACCUUAACCACCAUGAGCACAGAUACUCUGGUAUGGCUUCUGGACACCAGAUGAAGACAAAUGCUCUUUCUUAUCAGGAGGAUAGCCCAAGAGAUUAAAGGUUACUACACCAGAGUCUGUCUGACCAGGGCCAGACACUAACUAGAAUGUGCAAGUUUUCAGGUGUGUAACACUGUGAGAGAAAGCAGGUUUGUCACGAUGUCCUUCGGGAAGCAAUAAAUGAGAGACCGUGAGAAAGAAACAGGAGGAGCAAAAGUAAGAGUGUAAUCUGAGGGAGGAGGAAGGAAACGGAAGAGAGACCAGCAAGCCCAACGACUGGGAUGCAAAGCAGAAAAGGUUAACAACAGUCACGUCUGAAACAGCGUAUUCAAGAGCAAGUGAUUUCACCCCUGUGAUUUUUAUUCCUACCAGAAACAGGUCAAUACCCUACGGGAACACUCACCAUGU